UACAGAGGUGGCAAGCGUUGUUCGGAAUUACUGGGCGUAAAGGGCGCGUAGGCGGCCUUCUAAGUCAGACGUGAAAUCCCCCGGCUUAACCUGGGAACUGCGUCUGAUACUGGAGGGCUUGAGUAUGGGAGAGGGAUGUAGAAUUCCAGGUGUAGCGGUGAAAUGCGUAGAUAUCCGGAGGAAUACCGGUGGCGAAGGCGGCAUCCUGGACCAUUACUGACGCUGAGGCGCGAAAGCUAGGGGAGCAAACAGG
rnacentral:rRNA from 1 species